UACGGAGGGUGCGAGCGUUGUCCGGAAUCAUUGGGCGUAAAGGGCGCGUAGGCGGCCCCUCAAGCGUGCGGUGAAAGUCAGGGGCUCAACCCCUGAUCGGCCGUGCGAACUGGGGAGCUUGAGCACUGUAGAGGCAGGCGGAAUUCCGGGUGUAGCGGUGGAAUGCGUAGAGAUCCGGAAGAACACCGGUGGCGAAGGCGGCGACCUGGUCCUUGACUGACGCUGAGGCGCGAAAGCGUGGGGAGCAAACAGG
rnacentral:rRNA from 1 species